CACCUUGAAACUUUGCCGCAGGUCCCCUAUUUUAAAUCUGUCCUUCGGGACUAUGGCGAUAAACGCGCUCGCAAUACACGGAUCGGACCCGGGGGCGGUACCCGGCGACUCCACCAACAAACCCUUCAUUUGGGGGCGCAUGGGGUCGAAAUAGGAUCGACGGACGUCUAAAGGGGUUAGCUUUUGCUCGGUGAGAUACCACCGAUAUCGGUUCAAUAUAGCUAGUUGCAAAUGACAACAAAGCACCGAUGGCUCUGGCUGCGUAAGCAGUUCGAAAUAUCGAAAACUUAAGCCCUACCGCUUUGCGGCCGUAGGCGGGGUUUGCAGGUACCUGGCAACAGAAACCUGCGCU
rnacentral:tmRNA from 1 species